rnacentral:SRP_RNA from 1 species
GUUGGGGCAUGGUGGUGUGCACCUAUAGUCCCAGCUACUCGGGAGGCUGAGGUAGGAGGAUCGCUUGAGCCCAGCAGUUCUGACCUGUAGUGUGUUAUGCCAGUUGGGUGUCUGCACUAAGUUUGGCAUCAACAUGGUGACCUCUCAGAAGUGGGGGACCACCAGGUUGCUUAAGGAGGCGUGAACAGGCCCAGGUUGGAAACAGAGCAGGUCAAAACUCUCAUACUGAUCAAUUAUUCUUAAGGUCUGUUGGUUGAGGUAUCCUGGUUAAAAUAAUUACUUGGUUUUC